rnacentral:rRNA from 1 species
CAGCAGCCGCGGUAACACGGAGGGUGCAAGCGUUAUCCGGAUUCACUGGGUUUAAAGGGUGCGUAGGCGGGUAUGUAAGUCAGUGGUGAAAUCUCGGAGCUUAACUCCGAAACUGCCAUUGAUACUAUAUAUCUUGAAUAUUGUGGAGGUUUGCGGAAUAUGUCAUGUAGCGGUGAAAUGCUUAGAUAUGACAUAGAACACCUAUUGCGAAGGCAGCAGGCUACACAUAUAUUGACGCUGAGGCACGAAAGCGUGGGGAUCAAACAGGAUUAGAUACCCUGGUAGUCCACGCCCUAAACGAUGGAUACUCGACAUACGCGAUACACUGUGUGUGUCUGAGCGAAAGCAUUAAGUAUCCCACCUGGGAAGUACGACCGCAAGGUUGAAACUUAAAGGAAUUGGCGG